rnacentral:sRNA from 1 species
GGACGAGGAAGGCAUCCGCCGCCUGGGGGCGCUGACGCUGGAGCAGCCGGAACUGGUGGAGUCUCUUUCAUUGCAGGGAUCUUAUGCUGGAAAAAUCCAUUCCAUUGGUGAUGCCUUCAGAAAUUUUAAAAAUCUCCGAUCCUUGGAUUUAUCAAGGAAUUUGAUCACUAGCCUUAAGGGAAUCCAGUAUUUAUGUUCACUCCAAGACCUGAAUUUAUAUUAUAACAACAUUCCUUCAUUAGUGGAAGUGUCCCGUCUACAACCGUUACCCUUCCUCAAAGAACUGGAUUUGAGACUUAAUCCUGUUGUAAGGAAAGAUACAGAUUAUAGGCUCUUUGCUGUAUAUACACUACAAACUCUGGAGAAAUUAGAUGACCGAACUGUACGUGAAGGUGAGAGAAAAGCUGCCAAGCUGCAUUUUAGUCAGUUGGGCAACAGUGAAAAUUUUCUUUUAGAGGUGGAAAAAAGCUCUAGGGAGAAGACAAUGAAAAACUGUGUAACAGGUGAGAGCCCUGCAUCAAAAGUCAGUGCUAAUGUUGACAGCAGGAUUGAAAUGGACUCAAACAAGGGACUUUUUAUUCCCUUCCCCAACCGGGAAAUAAAGGAUUCCCUAAGUACUUCUGCAACUCAGGACAAUGGUACACCUGAUCAGAAAUUAGACACGUUCCCACUGGGGACAGAGAUCUGUAUGCCACAACCCAUUUCAACAGUGACCCUGCUGUACUUGUCAAUGUAGAGCAACAAUUAUCUACCAAUCUGGGUGAUUUAACACCAGCACAUGGUUCUGUCCCAAACAACGCUGUCCUGGGAAACAGGACAACUCCUCUGCGGACACUGCUGUUGUCUCCUGGGACUUCAGAAGACAGAAAGAUUUUUACCAAGAGGUCUCUAAGCCCAUCGAAGAGAGGAUUCAAAUGGAAGGACAAUAUCCUUGCCAACCUGAAUCUAAAGCAUGGUUUCCGAGAUGCUACAGGCAGCGAGGCAAGUGUUGGCUUGUUUGUGUUUGUGCAAGAAACAUGUCAGGUUCAAGACCAGAAUGAGGGUUCUGUUGGGAAUGGAGGUGGUUCUGACCAACAGGGCUAGAAAUUCAAAGAGAUUUUCAGAGGCUGGCGGCUAAUAUUGCCAAGCUAACGCCUGUUGAGCCUUCUGCCCUUGGGAAAGUCAUUCCUCCACUGCUGCCAUUUUCUCACUUAUAUCACAGGGAGAACUGUCCCUGAUCUUCUGGCUGAAGAUUGAAAUCUGUAGCAUCUGUGUUUACAGUCUCAUCAUAUUUACACAUUUGCUUCGGCCACACAUGAAAUAGUUCUUAUAAAAGCAUUGCUUCAGGCUGGGCACAGUGGUUCAUGCCUGUAAUCCCAGCACUUUGGGAGGCUGAGUGGGUGGAUCACCUCAGGUCAGGAGUUCAAGACCAGCCAGGCCAACAUGGCGAAACCCCAUCUCUACUAAAAAUACAAAAAUUAGCUGGGUGUGGUGGCGCGCGCCUGUAGUGCCAGCUACUCUAUUCGGGAGGCUGAGGCAGGAGACUCACUUCAACCCAUGAGGUGGAGGUUGCAGUAAGCCGAGAUCACACCACUGCACUCCAGCCUGGGUGACAGAGUGACUCAGUUUCAUAAAAAAUAAUAAUAAUAAGAGCAUUGCUUUGCUUUUCUGUCUAGAAGUUAAAAGGAUUUAAAAUUUUUUUCCAAUGUAGCAGCCAACAGAAGAUGAAUUAGAUUAUCCAAGGGAUUUUUAGCUGAAAGUAGUUCAGAGAAUGAAUGAAAAAUCAAGAACCAUUCCCACAUAAACAAUAUACAUGUAAUUCAUUUUAUAAAAUAUCCUAGUGGCUAGGCACGGUGGCUCACAUCUGUA